rnacentral:rRNA from 1 species
UACGAAGGGGGGCUAGCGUUGUUCGGAAUUACUGGGCGUAAAGCGCGCGUAGGCGGCUUUGCAAGCCAGAGGUGAAAUGCCUGAGCUCAACUUAGGAAUUGCCUUUGGGACUGCGAGGCUUCGAGGACUGGAGAGGUGAGUGGAAUUCCCAGUGUAGAGGUGAAAUUCGUAGAUAUUGGGAAGAACACCAGUGGCGAAGGCGACUUACUGGACACAUUAUGACGCUGAGGUGCGAAAGCGUGGGGAGCAAACAGG